rnacentral:tRNA from 1 species
AAAGAAUUAGUUAAACUAUAACAUAAAUAUGUCAAAUUUAAAUUAUUAUUUAUUAUAUAAUAUUCUUUU